UCCGGGUGAUCCAGGGGACUUUGGGU
rnacentral:piRNA from 1 species